AUACGGAAGGUCCGGGCGUUAUCCGGAUUUAUUGGGUUUAAAGGGAGCGCAGGCGGAGAUGCAAGCGUGACGUCAAAUUUCGGGGCUCAACCCCGUCUCGCGUCGCGAACUGCGUCCCUUGGUUGCGGGAAGGGGAGGCGGAACUCGUGGUGUAGCGGUGAAAUGCAUAGAUAUCACGAAGAACUCCGAUCGCGAAGGCAGCCUUCCGGCCCGUCAACGACGCUCAUGCUCGAAGGUGCGGGUAUCAAACAGGAUUAGAUACCCUGGUAGUCCGCACAGUAAACGAUGGACACCCGCGGUUUGGCCUAUAUGGCUGAGCCGCCAAGCGAAAGCGUUAAGUGUCCCACCUGGGGAGUACGCCGGCAACGGUGAAACUCAAAGGAAUUGACGGGGG
rnacentral:rRNA from 1 species